UUUAUUGAGAUCGAUUGUUUUUAAACGAUUGAACUCCAUCAAUAUGUUAAUAUAUGCAUCUUAUUUUGUUAGGAUAUAGAUAUGAAAUCCAUGGAAUAUUCCAUGAGAUUUGGCUUAGAGAACAUUUGUAACGAAGUUAUGGCGAAUUUCACGGAAAUAGACGUUAAACGUCGAAAAUGUUGGAAUUUCGGAUUGGUGGUCAAAAGUUGCUGUGAGACUUGAAAACAUUGUUUUUCAAUGUAAACACGUGCGAUAGG
rnacentral:lncRNA from 1 species